GGGCGAUUAGCUCAGUUGGUAGAGCAACUGACUCUUAAUCAGUUUGUCAAGGGUUCGAAUCCCUUAUCGCCCUCCA
rnacentral:tRNA from 2 species